rnacentral:misc_RNA from 1 species
GCAGAUUAUGUAAAAGUAAGUUGUGAAUUUAACUGUCAUGGGACCAAGGAUAUUUAGGUUGAGUAGAAUUUGACUUAAUACUGUUUCAGGCCCAAUUGGAAUUAUCAUAUAAGAGGAAGGAAGUGGAUAUUCUGGGCAUCUAUAGUGAAAAUGGGUACCUUGAACAUUCUUGUUGCAAUAACUUUUAUCUUCAUAGUGAUUUGGCUUAUAUUUCUAGGUAUGUGCAUAUACCUCUCCAGGAAUUGAGUUAUGCACUUGAAAUGCUAGUGAAAACAGAAAACUGAGAAAUUGAGUGAUUAUCAAUCAUGUUUUCUUGGUCUUGUUCCCUCACAGUAUGUUGGUUGAACACAUGAAUUUUUGUUUUACUUAUUUUUAUUUGGGCAGUAUUAUUGACUUAUUCAUUGACCUAAUGACUUUAAUUUAUUUUCAGAACAUGAUUACUGGAGCUGCCCAG